UAUACUCUAAUUAGUAUAUAAUUAUCUAAUACAAAUGUCGAUUUAGCUAACAAUGUUAUUGUCUUUAAAGGUUUCCCCUAAGUGGUUGAUGUGGUUGAUGGCACUCAUAUCCGAAUUCAAGCACCUAACGCAAACGAACAAAAAGGGGUUUCACUCUCUUAAUUUACAGAUGAUAUGUGAUGCCACCCUUCGGUUUCUUGACGUAGUCGCCAAGUGGCCUGAGAGCGUACACGAUUCUAGGAUGUUUCGUGAAAGCGCCCUACGUUAGCGCUUUGAAAGAGGUGAAAUUGACGGUCUUAUGCUUGGUGACUCGGGCUAUGGAUGCAAGAGGUAUCUUAUGACACCAUAUCAAAACACCGACAGUCCUUGUAAGUCUGAAAAAAAUCCCGAAAGGGAGGAACGAUGUAAAAACCGUACAUGAACGGCAAAGUUGCAACAACUGAUGUCAGAACCGUUACUGAACAGUGUAAAGGUGCAACAACCGAUGUCAGAACCAUUACUGAACAGUGUAAAGUUGCAACAACUGAUGUCAGAACCGUUACUGAACACUGUAAAGGUGCAACAACCGAUGUCAGAACCGUUACUGAACAGUGUUAAGGUGCAACAACCGAUGUCAGAACUGUACCAGAACGGGGCACCAUCGUACGCAUCGUAGCCGUUCAACGUAAUCGUUAUAAGUAGCAGUAAUUUGUAUUGCCCGGGACCGUCACCUAACGAGCCCACAUACUUGCAUGUAAAUGAAAUUACAGACGUGUAUUACAAAUAUGUUAUACGAGAAAGUCACUUCUACUACACAUGCGUUUUAAAAUCUACGCACGCUACAUAGAACAAUAAUGUCAAUAAUUGUAAAUAUGAUAUCAAAACUUAUUAAAUCAUUCUAGUAAAUAAUCACUACUUUUAUUUACAAACGACCAGUUACGAACCAAACGAUGAAGUUUUUUAAGAUGUGCGAGUUAAUGAAUGUUUAAUAUAAAUGAAUAAUAUCGCUGUAGGAAAACGGGGUUCAAUGCAAGUGUGUAAAGUGUCGUCCCAGAUUAGGACGACACUUUCCGCCCUUAUCUGGUUUUUCGCUAAGGAGACAAUUCCUUUACACGAAAAAGACCAUACAAGCGGAAAGUGACGUCUUUGAUUAACCUGUGCGAACUUCACAGGUUAUAAAUGACGACACUAUAAGAAAAUGUAUUAAACCCUUAUUGUCCCAAAAGCGAGGCUCAAUUAUACAUGUAUGUAGAUGGAUGAGGGCUAAUAGUCCAAAAAAUGAUUCUAUUUACAAAGCAGUUGAGAUCUUGGGGGCGUUACCGAUAAUUUCUUAAAUAGUAUGGAACACAUAAAUAAGGCAAAUAACAUCCAUGUUAACAUCACGGGUGUAUUUUAAUCACAAAUAUUUUGGCAUUUAAUUCAACGUGGUAUGGGUAUGGGUAAGGCACAACGUAUGAUGCAUCUUCAGCCAUAACAUUACAUUAUAGGUGUAACAUUCUUAGGAAAAUAAUGAUAAAAUGUAUCUGGAUAAAAAAAAAUAAAAUCGAAUAUUUUCUGGUUAAAAAUGUGAUUUAACUGUUGAUGCGGAUAUGACGGGCGGACAACUAUUAUUUAAAUUCCAGUGAUCGAAAAAUAGUUGCCUCUCUUAAAUAACCAUAUUAUUGAUAAAUAAAUAAAAUAACGUGUUUUACGGAAAAGAAUAUAUCUUCCGAACGAAAAUGGAGUUGUUCUUCUGAAGUAUAUAUAUUAGUUCAAAAGCCAUGCAAUACCUUCCAUGAUAGAACGCGCUUUGAGAAACUUUGAGCCUCGUUUUGGGAACACUCGGCCGGCCGCACAGGCUACUCAGGGUCGACACUUACCGCUUGUGUGGUAAUUCGUUCAUAGGAAGGUGUCGCAGCUGAUUAGCCUGUACGGAAUAGCACUAAUCUGGGACGACACUAUCCACACUCAGUAAACCCAUUUUUUCAAAACGCGGCUCAAAGGACAUAAACUGUUGCCAAGUUUAAAGUAAAAGCACGUGUGAACAAGCAUCUUGUAGAGUGCUUUAACACGCCUCUCGCUCAACCAUUUCGCGCAAGUUGAAAAAAGACACGCUUUUAACAUUUAUAUAUUCACACACUGUUUAUGUUUUAUUAAUGAAUGAAACUUACAAAAUCUGCUAUUUUUUCAUCUUCCUAAAGAAAUUGUUAUUAUUUACAUUCUGGAUUUUCAUGAGCACUGCCAUUGGUUUCAAUAACGUCAAACAUAUGCAUAUAGGCAUGUAUUUAGUCAUUAAUUGAAAAUUGAAAUAUAAUAUAAUAUAAACAAUCUAACACCUCAAUUAUAAGUCAUCGACACAUUCUUUAGUACUAUUUGUGUAUAUUUAUAAAUGGUAUGUAAUCUUCAAAAAAUUACGAGUAAGCAGGGUAAUGUGGUUUGAAGACUUAACAUCGAUAAUUGCAUAAAACAAACAUAUACAGCAGCCGUAUAAUGCAAUACAUAACUUUAAUUCUCAAAUGUGUGUUGGUAUUUUUUAUAUUUUAUUUUCACGUCGUACGUGUAAGAAGUUUUUUUAAGUGAAUAUUUCCGAAUGUUUAUGAAUUAUUAAUUACUCUAAGUUUUCGGACACUCUUAGAUUUCGGACACCCUAUUUUUAGAAUCAAUUUUAUUUUGUUCGUGACUCUCAAUUUUGGGACAUACAGGAUUUCGUCCAUAAUUAAUGUCUCUUAAUUUUCGGAGGGUAUGUUUUCAGAGGGGGUAAUCACGUGAUGAUCUAAAGGAAGUCAAGAUGACGACGUCCUUGCCGAAACAGGAAAACGUGUGGUCAAUCAAAUUGCUUCCACAAGAAUCAUAUGUGCAUGGGAUACGAUGGUAAAGAAGAAUGGUCAUGUUCAAAAGUAUAAGUUCCGACAUUAAGACCAAGCCAGGCAGGAUUCAUCAUCCACUGCAAGGACGCCUGGAGAACGAUUACGGCAAAGUUCUCCGAUGGAGGCAAAAACACUAUCGUUAAUCAUCAUAAACACUUAUCUAUCAAAUCUACUUCAAAAUGAUAUUCAAAUCUGAAAGAACUUUGUUUUCACAUAGCAAGAAAGAGAUACAAUAUUACACGACAAAAUAAAAGUAACAGGUAAUGCAUGCGGUAACGGGUUUGAAGACUUAUUCACAGAAUGCCAUCAAAUACUCAAAAUAUCGACAGAUUAUCCAGAAACGAAGGCGAUGUUGGAACCUUCAGAAACACAGCUUCUAUGUGUUACAGAAGACCGCAUGUCAAAUGAAGUAUAACCAAAGCCGAGUCUCAGUUAUUUCUCUAGAGCCACUGAGGGACAAUGGUUGCUCAUGGUUAGGAUGAGAGAGAGACACCAAUUGUGGCUACUGAACACUGCUUGAUGUAUAACAAGGCAUCAAAUUCCAUUCAGAAGGAAUCUCCAAAACAAUCUCAGUCGUAUUAUUUUAGAACCAGCAUUUUGAAAAUGUCACAAAGAGAUUUCUAUACUAAUUUGUUUAUAAUGAUAAUGCCAACAAACAUUGGUUAGUAGCUAACAUCAAUUGCAUUGAGAUAAUACAGUGAGCUUAUUGUAAUUUAUACACAUCAUCUUGCUACACAUUUUUCAAAGUAUAGUUUAUUAGCAUAUCCUUAACUGCUGGACAAAGUUAUGCUCUGGAAAGAAAUUAUGACAUAAAAUUUUAUACUAGACCUUUGACCUUCAGAUGUCACCAUGACCUUGGACUUUGGGAUCUGGUUUUGUUUGCACAACUCCUUCUCAUCAGGCCUUAACAUUUAGGCCUUCAUUUAAUUUGAAACCCAAUUUUUUUCCAGAGCAUAUUUGAGUCGUGUUCUGAGAAAGCUGGGCAUAAUGCAUGUGCAUAAAGUGUCAACCCAGAUUAGCCUGUGCAGUUUGCACAGGCUAAUCAGGGACAACACUUUCCGUUUUAUGGUAUUUUUAGUUUCAUGGAAGUCUUUACCGAAAAUCAAGUUUAGGUGGAAAGUGUCGUCCCUGAUUUGCCUGUGCGGACUGCACAGGCUAAUCUGGAAUGACACUUUACGCACAUGCAUUAAGCCCAGUUUUCUCAGAACAAGGCAUAUUUCAUCUCCAAAAAUCAUAAUGCAUCCACACCAUUGUCAACUGAUCAACAAUAGCCACUGCUUUCAACAAAAGCCACUGCUUUCAACAAUAGCCACUGCUUUCAACAAUAGCCACUGCUUUCAACAAUAGCCACUGCUUUCAACAAUAGCCACUGCUUUCAACAAUAGCCACUGCUUUCAACAAUAGCCACUGCUUUCAACAACAGCCACUGCUUUCAACAAUAGCCACUGCUUUCAACAACAGCCACUGCUUUCAACAACAGCCACUGCUUUCAACAGUAGCCACUGCUUUCAACAGUUGCCACUGCUCUCAACAGUUGCCACUGCUUUCAACAAUAACCACUGCUUUCAACAAUAGCCACUGCUUUCAACAACAGCCACUGCUUUCAACAACAGCCACUGCUUUCAACAACAGCCACUGCUUUGAACAACAGCCACUGCUUUGAACAAUAGCCACUGCUAACAAUAGCCACUGCUUUCAAAAAUAGCCACUGCUUUUAAUAACAGCCACUUCUUUCAACAAUAGCUACUGCUUUCAACAAUAGCCACUGCUUUCAACAAUAGCCACUGCUUUCAACAAUAGCCACUGCUUCCAACAAUAGCCACUGCUUUCAACAAUAGCCACUGCUUUCAAAAAUAGCCACUGCUUUCAAAAACAGCCACUGCUUUCAACAAUAGCCACUGCUUUCAACAAUAGCCACUGCUUUCAACAAUAGCCACUGCUUUCAACAAUAGCCACUGCUUUUAACAACAGCCACUGCUUUCAACAACAGCCACUGCUUUCAACAAUAACCAAUGCUUUCAACAAAAGCCACUGCUUUCAACAACAGCAACUGCUUUCAACAAUAGCCACUGCUUUCAACAAUAGCCACUGCUUUCAACAAAAGCCACUGUUUUCAACAAUAGCCACUGCUUUCAACAAUAGCCACUGCUUUCAACAACAGCCACUGUUUUCAAAAAUAGCCACUGCUUUCAACAAUAGCCACUGCUUUCAACAAAAGCCACUGCUUUCAACAAUUGCCACUGCUUUCAACAAAAGCCACUGCUUUCAACAAUAGCCACUGCUUUCAACAAUAGCCACUGCUUUCAAAAACAGCAACUGCUUUCAACAACAGCCACUGCUUUCAACAACAGCCACUGCUUUCAACAAUAGCCACUGCUUUCAACUAUAGCCACUGCUUUUAACAACAGCCACUGUUUUCAACAAUAGCCACUGCUUUCAACAAUAGCCACUGCUUUCAACAAUAACCACUGCUUUCAACAACAGCCACUGCUUUCAACAAUAGCCACUGCUUUCAACAAUAGCCACUGCUUACAACAACAGCCACUGCUUUCAACAACAGCCACUGCUUUCAACAAUAGCCAAAGCUUUCAACAAUAGCAACUGCUUUCAACAAUAGCCACUGUUUUCAACAACAGCCACUGCUUUAUCUGGCAAGACCUUAGUCAGAACUGUAAUUGGAUAUGGAUGAAUAAUGUCACUCUGUGGUCAAUUUACAGAAAAAAAAUCAUAAACAAGAGAUUGCCAAGCAAUAUAUGUCCCCUACCGGUUCCAACAUUGUCAGAAUAUUUUGUGUUUGUUGCUGCCAUAGCAACCAGAAUUCUUGACAAAACGAAAAGACGUGCAUAAUCUCCAUAUUGCCAUCUGACCAUGUUUCAAGUUUCAUGAAAAAAAUAUGACAAACUUUUAAAGUUAUCGCAGGAUCCAGAAAAGUGUGACAGACAGACAGACUCACACACUCACAGACGCACAGAGCGCAAACCAUAAGUCCCCUCUGGUGAAACCGGAAGGGGACAACAAGCACUAUUUCAAUAUUUUAUAUACAUCAGCAUUAUAUUUUAUUUGCAUUCUAUCAGUGAUUUCUUCAAGAUUCUCUUAGUGUUUCUCGAGAUAUCAAUAAAACAAAAUGUUUUGACCAACU